UACACAUGCAGUCGAACGAUGAUCUCCAGCUUGCUGGGGGGAUUAGUGGCGAACGGGUGAGUAACACGUGAGUAACCUGCCCUUGACUCUGGGAUAAGCCUGGGAAACUGGGUCUAAUACUGGAUACGACUCUUCACCGCAUGGUGGGGGGUGGAAAGCUUUUGUGGUUUUGGAUGGACUCGCGGCCUAUCAGCUUGUUGGUGGGGUAAUGGCCUACCAAGGCGACGACGGGUAGCCGGCCUGAGAGGGUGGACGGCCACACUGGGACUGAGACACGGCCCAGACUCCUACGGGAGGCAGCAGUGGGGAAUAUUGCACAAUGGGCGCAAGCCUGAUGCAGCGACGCCGCGUGAGGGAUGAAGGCCUUCGGGUUGUAAACCUCUUUCAGUAGGGAAGAAGCGAAAGUGACGGUACCUGCAGAAGAAGCGCCGGCUAACUACGUGCCAGCAGCCGCGGUAAUACGUAGGGCGCAAGCGUUAUCCGGAAUUAUUGGGCGUAAAGAGCUCGUAGGCGGUUUGUCGCGUCUGCCGUGAAAGUCCGGGGCUUAACUCCGGAUCUGCGGUGGGUACGGGCAGACUUGAGUGAUGUAGGGGAGACUGGAAUUCCUGGUGUAGCGGUGAAAUGCGCAGAUAUCAGGAGGAACACCGAUGGCGAAGGCAGGUCUCUGGGCAUUAACUGACGCUGAGGAGCGAAAGCAUGGGGAGCGAACAGGAUUAGAUACCCUGGUAGUCCAUGCCGUAAACGUUGGGCACUAGGUGUGGGGGGACAUUCCACGUUUUCCGCGCCGUAGCUAACGCAUUAAGUGCCCCGCCUGGGGAGUACGGCCGCAAGGCUAAAACUCAAAGGAAUUGACGGGGGCCCGCACAAGCGGCGGAGCAUGCGGAUUAAUUCGAUGCAACGCGAGAAUCUUUACCAAGGCUUGACAUGAACCG
rnacentral:rRNA from 2 species